UUAGACAYCUAGUUAGUCAAACUGUCAAAGUUACUUCACAUGAAGUCAAGUCAUGCUUUCAGUGUCACAAAGUUUUUAGUUUUUUCAGUUUUAAUUAUUUUAGUGUGGUGACACUGAAAAACCKUUCGUAUCGUUUUCAUCGUAUUUUGUUUCUCCGUUAAUGCCACUUACUUCUUUUCGUUCUUUGCCAUCAAGAUGUGUGCUUCGCACAAUUUUAUUCAUGUGCAAUUGUGCAUGUUUUGUUGUUGUGUCGUUGCAGUUGGUGACCACAACCACGCUGCUGUGAUUUUGUGAACUUUGUCAAGAAAGUCGUCUGGUAUCUAUCGUGCAUUGCAAACAUGAAGUUCGAUACACGUCAAUUGAUCGUUGUUCGAAAAUUACCAGCAAUUUGUGUUUGUGAUUCAACGUGGUGUGGUGUACCUCUUGGGGAYAGUAGUGUCAACACUGACUUUGUGUUCCUGUCCUGGACGCACUCAUUGUGAAUUCUUCGUAUAUAGUUGUAGGCACACAUACGCACAUACAUAGCAGACAACUGAAACAGCGAUUCUAGCACUCACUGGUUAUCGUAGUAACUAAACUAUCGAUAGUACUUAUCAAUUGACAUAAAAUUAAUUACUGUACACCUCAACAUGAAACAUUAUGAUGGUAAUGUAAUAGAUAAUAUUAA